rnacentral:pre_miRNA from 1 species
AUGGAGAUGGAGAGCCUCCCUUGAUUUUGGUAGCCAAGAAUGACUUGCCUAUGCUUGCCCUCUGCUAACCAGCUAGCCAUGCAUGGUAACCAAUGGACAAAUUUCUUGUGGUUGGCGUGGUUAGUGUGGUUGCAUGGGUGGGUCUUCUUGGCUAGCCAGAGCGGCUCUCAUCCACCAUGCCAGGCCA